GAAUGAGAUGCCAGAGAGGGACUGGGAUUCUUAAUUUAGCCGAAGAUUCCUCCACAUCGAAGGAAACAUCAGGAAUAUGAAGGAAACAGGUGAAUAUUUCUUCAAUGUCAACUCAAGCAAAAUUGGGAGCAAGUGAUACACACCCAUUUAAAAACCAAGCUGAGAAUGGAGUUUUACCUCUUCCCAAAAUAUCAAACAGAGGAAAUUAGAAAGGAGACUCUUCUGACAGAACUUACCCCUGAGAGUGAUGUCGAUGAGCUACAGGAGAAGCUGGCAGCUUUCCCCACAGAGUUGGACACACACAGGCUCAGGACUCAGAAGUGAAGAAAGAUUCCGUGGGGUUGGAAGAGCUGCAGGCCUGGAUGAAGUCCCCAGAAACAAGUGACCGUGGAAACAUCCUGCUGAGAUGGAGAAACUGUGACUCGCUCUGUCUGCAUCCCUGAGCUUUCACCUGGAAAAGGCACUGACCUUGUGUGUCGAAGUCUGCAGACUUUCAUUUUGGAGAUAUAUUUCACUCUGAAUAGUGAAUCAGAGUGGGGUGAAACAUCUGGCUUAUAAAAUGUUUCAAACCUCAAACCACUUUAGAUACUUGGAAAUCAUCUUCUCCACACAUUUAUUAUAAAACAGGAAGAGACCCAGAAAAAAUGCCACUCUGUUUUGAAGAUGGAAAUACUUCAGGAGGCCGAGGAGGGAGGAUCACUUGAACCCAGGAGUUGAAGAUCAGCCUGGACAACAUAAAGACACUUCUCUACAAAAUAACAAUAAAAAUAAUAAUUUUAAAAGUAAGUAAAAUAAAACCAUGGUUUCUCUAGUGUUAGAUUUGGAUAAACCAACCCAAAUAAUAUCUAGCAGUUCUUAGAGCUGUAACAAUAGACUAACCAUUGGUGUAUCAUAGACCAUUCUUAAAAUUUUCAAAUGUCAGUACUGAAUGGCAUGGAACAGGAAUAAUAUUUAUCAGAGUAUCUACUAGUGCCAGUCAACAUGAAAAUGCUUACAUGUAAUAUUAAUGCCAAUCCUUACAACCAUUUUCUAAUUAAACAGAUAUCUUAGUAAUUAUAGAAAUAUUUUGUUACUUAUUUUAAAUUAGUGUUGUCAUUUUACCAAUUUUUAAACUAAGAUUAAGAAGUGUUAACUUCCUUAAGCUCACAUAAAGAGGAUUACAUGAAAUACAUUACCUGAAGAAAAAUGUAUUUCAUUCUUGUAUGAAUCACAAUAUAGUAGAAUAUGGUAGAAAACAUACUUAUCACACAAAACAGCAUGUUUGAAAAAAAUAAAUGUAAUGGUUCAGGUUGCAGUUAAUAAUUGACUUAGACUAGUUUCACAGAUAGUAAAAUAGUUACGUUAACAAUUUUAAAAGGAUGGGUAUGUUUUUGUUUCUUCCAGAAAAUACUUCUCUGUGAUUAAAAUAUUCAACUAUAUUCAAAAUUCAAAUAUUUACCAAACUUCUAAAAUAUCCCACUGUGUUUAGCAAUAUAAUAACUGCUGUGGGUUUUAAAAAAGAAUCAUGACUUAGGACUUUAAUUAAGUUUGAAAAAUCAGUGGAAUCAUCCAUACUAAUUUUUUUUACUCUUAAAAACUUUCAGAAAACUGACUUUAUAUCACCAUAUUUUAAACAACAUCUUUUAGUGAAAGCAUGUCUCAUUCAGUGAUCUAAAGCAAAGUGCAUAUAGAUGAGGUGUGGAGGCAGAUUGCCUGGGUUCAGAUCCCAGUUCCGCCACUAUUAGUACCUACCUUUGGGGUUUGUUGACAUUAAGUGAGUUUAAUCAUGAAAAGCACUUAACAUUUUGCAUAAGAAAUUGGCUAGCGUGUAAAUAUGAAACAAGUAGUAGUAAUUAUUAGUCAACAAAAACUUUAUAAUUGCAAGUUCUGAGGACUUUUUUUGGUGGAAAAGGGAGAUUUUAAUAAGUAAGGAUGGUAAGGAAAAUGUCCCAUUUAUUCUUGUGGUAAUGUGUAAUCUUUUCCUAAUUAAAAUGAGUGUUUAUCAUCAGACACCAACUUGACAGACAAACCACAGAGUAACAGGAAAACAGCUGAGUGAUGUAGGAAAGUUAACUUGCCCCUCUGCCUGGAAACAAAUACAACAUUGGACAUCAGAGAGUGCCAGAGAGACCAUCUUCCCAUCUCAGGAUAGGCACCUAACCCAAGAAAUAGUUUACUAUUCUAGACAGAGAAUCUAUCACCUCCCCCGACAACUUACUCCAACAUUUAAUCCCCUGACUGUGGGAGUCAAAAAUUCAAUUUAGAAACAAAAAUUUAAUUUAACUCUAGAAAGAGAAUUUCACAUUUUUGCCUGAAACGCUUAGCAAUUGUGAGAUCAAUGUUUUAUGAAGGCAGGAUUGUAAUUUAUAAUUUCAUAAUUAUAAUUUAUAAUUUCAACAAAGUAGGAUUAAAGUAGGGUGGUAUUAUCAAUAUUUAACGUAGUUUUUAAAAAUUUACCACACUUAUCACUCAUUUAUUCAAACAAUAUCUUUUUUUUUUUUUUUUUUUGAGGCAGAGUCUCCUU
rnacentral:lncRNA from 10 species